rnacentral:rRNA from 1 species
AUGUCAUCGGCGGCGAACUGCGGGCGCCCUCCGGCCAACGCUUCCUCCGCUGCCUGUAGACUCAAGGACGAGUCCCCGUGGGCUUCUCUCCCUGCAGAUUUGGCCCGGCUUGUGGGCUGGCGGGUGUUGGCCGGAGACCUCCUCGACUACGUCCGGUUCCGCGCCGUCUGCUCUGACUGGCGUUCCGCCACGGUCUCCCCGCACGGCCAUGGCAUCACUGAUCCGCGGUUUCAUCCCCGCCGGUGGAUGCUGCUACCCGAGGGCCACGGCCUCCACCCUGCUGGAAAGAAACGUUUCUUCAACCUCUCUACUGGAUUGUUCGUGCGCCAUCGAGUUCCUCUUCUCGUGGACCACCUUGUUCUCUGCCCGGUCGAUGGGCUUCUCCUACUGCAGGGGGAACACGGCGAAGGAAAUACUCUUCUUCUCCUCCACCCUUUCACCGGCGAUGUUGCGGUGCUGCCGUCGGUCACGUCUCUGAAAAAAAGCUUGAGAGCACAUCUUAAUCCACAUGGGAAAUAUGCUUGGCUCGUUGACGUGAUGGCGUCCUUGAGCGUCAGUGCUGAUGGAAUCCCCAUGAUCAUGAUUGCAAUUUUAGAUUUUUCAUGCGUAGUAUGUGCUACUACCAAGGAUGACCAUUGGAGUGUCUUGGCGAGUUGGAGCUUCAUACCACAAGGAAGGCCAAUGUCAUCCCGGGGAAGCAUAUACAUUUUACAGUGUUCCACAGGUGACAGCGAGCUACAAAUUCUCGGAAUUGACCCAGCUCAGUAUGGAUCGGGGUUACGUCCACAACCACCAAGACUCAUUGCUACAUGUCCGCCAGGCACGAUCUACCCACCUCGGCAUUUAGUAGAAUGUGACUCGGAGAUCCUACUAGUUGGAUACACCAAUUACACGAUUUCCUCGCGCAUGCUAGUUUAUAGGGUAGCCGAUCUUAUCCAAGGAAGUGUUGUCCCACUGACUAGCAUCCAAGGCAAUGCUCUUUUGGUUAGGUUUGGAUGGAGCUUGAGUGUUAGCUUCAAGGCAAUGCCUACUGUUGUUGGCGACACAAUUGUGGGCAUGUACCAUGAUGAUCGAUCGUGCGGCAGCUUGCUUGAUGCUCUGUCUAGUAGUGUUGGCAUCUUUCUUCCACUCAGGCCUAUCACUGAGCGAGUAUCUUGCAUUAAUCAGGCCCUUUUCCGCAAUGCAUAUGACGGACGAGCGGAAUAUAUGACAACUCCGUGUUAUUCUAGGUGCGCUCCAUGGGCCGGGUGUCAACAAGAGCCAUCAAUCAAAAGGUCCUCAUGGGCUAUGGCCAUUCUCUCUCAAAAGUAUGACGACAUGGUUGACUGGAACUUGAGGAGUACUUUUUCCUUCCAUUAUGCUUUACUGAUACUAUACCGAGGAGAUGAUCAGGUUGAUGUCGCACGCAUGCUUGACAAUUUUCAUGCGGAGCAGAGCAGCUGCAAUUCUUGUGGCCAUUCAUCUAUGGGGGGCUGUUUGCUCUUCUUGUGCAACCUUCUUCUUCAUCCUUCUGCGGAUCCUGCAAAUUUUUUAACUUCUCCCAAGAACAUCUUCGACACCCUCAAGAAGUACAAAUUACACUACGAACUAGUAGUGCAUCAGAGUAUGCAUUACAGAGACAGUGGUCGUUUCCCUUUGAGAAAUUUUCUUGCCGUUGCUGAGCCACGUACCUCGCCGGUGGAUCGGUCAAGUUGGUCUGCUGGCUGGAUCGAAAUGAGGCAUGCAUGCAUAUCACUUUAUACAGACAGAUCGGCCAACUAUUUUGAGGGUAACAUGCAUCUGCAUGCAUGCUUCAUACUGCUAGUGCAUGCAAGCUGCAAUAUAAUGCUUGGAAUUUUUGGGGGGCAAACUGAUCAAAGUAGCAACAUCAAAUUAGGAGAAAGAUUAAAGGGGAAUGAAAAAAGAUCAAUUAAAGAUCAUGCGAGAAAUAUAUUCGCUGAGCUCAAUGGGCCGGGUGUCAACAAGAGCCAUCAAUCAAAAAGGACGAAAGGAAACAAAAUUUUCAAACCUCUUAUGCUCCAGGUCCUCAUGGGCUAUGGCCAUUCUCUCGGUAAAAUAUUUUGGAGCAAACCAAAACAUAAGCUUCGGGAGUAUUUCAGCGGUUGCGGCCAUGCAUUUGCAUUGGGAACGAGCAGGCUGGUGGCUAGGAGGGCUUGCAUCCCAUUGUUAGAGUUCGGAACAAAAUGGAGCCUCCCCGUGCGUUUGGAUUCUGGGCCGUUGGAUUGGCUGUCCAAAGCGAUCCAGGCCGUUGGAUCUUCAUCCGGAGCGAUCCUGGCCAUCAGAUCUUCAUCCGGGGCGAUCCUGCCCGUCGGAUCGAAUGAAACACUGCUACUGGUGCCACCGCCUGUAAAUCCCGUGCCCCACCGAGGGCAGUCUCGUCUUUUCACACGCAGGAGUAUAAAAUGCAGCAGGCCCCGCCGUCGCCCCCGCUCGCCCUUGUUCCGUCGCCCCCGCUCAUCCUCGCGCCCUCUUAGGGAUCUCUCCUCCUACUACUACGCCAUGAGAAAGCCCGCCAACGCCAGCGCCGGCCGCGGCACUGGCGCAUUCGAAGUCCGCGUCGAGCGCCCGCAUCGCCCGCCCGUGCACCCGAACCUGACACGACUCAGGGCGCGCCCUGCUACCGGCGCUGGACGCCCUGGCUCGUCCUGGCCAUCUGCGUCGCCAUCUUCCUCGUCACCAAGUUCGGAUUCGCCUUCCAGCAGCUCAAGGAUCGGAGAACCAACUCCUCAGCCCAUUCCCCACCACGUACGCAAGCUGCUAGGCUCCUCCUUCUCUUCUUCCUCCCCCCUUGUUUGCUUCCUCGCAUGUGCAUUUCCUUGCUUAGAGGAGGACAGUACAGGCGGUUUCAAUCCCACCGCCGCCGAACUCCGGGAAUCGCCGCCGCCAAGUCUCCAGGGCAGGGCGGUUUCAAACCCUGCCGACGAACUCCGGGAUACGCAUAAUCGUCGUUGCCGCCCCCUCCCCCGGCUGCCCCAUGGUCUUCUAUCUCUCCCAACUCCGCUGUCGCGCCCCGUCUUCCGUCUCUGCAUGAAUCGCUGUUGUGGCAGCCACUCCCCAUGGCGGCCAUCCGGGCACACCGUGUCCGGGAUGAUGGAGGUGAUGUCGGCCAGUUCCCUGUUUCCGUUGGCAUCUUCUGCGAUGGGACCCGUGGGGGCAGGUCGCGCGCUGCUCAUCUAUGUCGAUGGCGUCGGCGUCGUCCUUCCCCUGCAAAGCAUGGCGGCUCCUUGGCUGGAUCACAGUGAUGAUACAGUUGGCUCGGCGGCGGCUAGGGAUCUCGCAGGCUGGCGUUUAUUUGAUGUCUGGGUGUUCCAAUCGUGA